AACGAACGCUGGCGGCAGGCUUAACACAUGCAAGUCGAACGCCACCUUCGGGUGGAGUGGCAGACGGGUGAGUAACGCGUGGGAACGUACCUUUUGGUUCGGAAUAUUCUCGGGAAACUGAGAGCAAUACCGGAUAAGCCCUUGGGGAAGAUUUAUCGCCAAAAGAUCGGCCCGCGUUAGAUUAGGUAGUUGGUAGGGUAAUGGCCUACCAAGCCUACGAUCUAUAGCUGGUCUGAGAGGAUGAUCAGCCACAUUGGGACUGAGACACGGCCCAAACUCCUACGGGAGGCAGCAGUGGGGAAUAUUGGACAAUGGGCGAAAGCCUGAUCCAGCCAUGCCGCGUGAAUGAUGAAGGCCUUAGGGUUGUAAAAUUCUUUCAACGGGGGACGAUAAUGACGGUACCCGUAGAAGAAGCCCCGGCUAACUUCGUGCCAGCAGCCGCGGUAAAGUCUGUACU
rnacentral:rRNA from 1 species